AACGGCCAUACCAUGCUGAAUAUACCGGUUCUCGUUAGAUCACCGAAGUCAAGCAUCAUUGGGCGCGGUCAGUACUUGGGUGUGGGUGACCACCUGGGAACACCGCGUGCCGUU
rnacentral:rRNA from 1 species